CCAGUUGGCCGGGCAGCCGCACUUUACCAAUGCCGAAAGGCGGUAGGGUGAGGAAAGUCCGGGCUCCACGGAAACACGGUGCCGGAUAACGUCCGGCGGGGGCGACCCUAGGGACAGUGCCACAGAAAGGAAACCGCCCCGCUUUCUGAUCGACCGGAUGACGCAUUGCGGCAAGGGUCGAUGAGAUAGCGGGGUAAGGGUGAAAGGGUGGGGUAAGAGCCCACCGCGCGACCGGUAACGGAAGCGGCAUGGUAAACCCCACCGGGAGCAAGACCGAAUAGGGAUGACGCGGGACGUGCGCAAGUACGUCUACAGCCUGUUUCCGGGCCAGUCAUCCGGGUGGGUUGCGCGAGGCGACGUGUAAACGGCGUCCCAGAUGAAUGGCUGCCACGUUCCGGUGUUCGCACCGGGGCCAUACAGAACCCGGCUUACAGGCCAACUGGUCAC
rfam:Rhizobium sp. Leaf306 contig_2, whole genome shotgun sequence.